rnacentral:tRNA from 1 species
GGCGAAAUGGUCUAGUGGUAAAGGCAAAGUGUUUGCAAGUGCGUAAAGCCAGGAUCGAUUCCUGGUUUUGUCA